UUCCCCGGAACAUCGCACCACCGGGCAACAUACAUCGCGACCAAGCAAACCCCAUUCCGCGGGCCGGAUUCCCCACCACCCACCCCAAACCCUAGGUUUCCCAUGGUGCAAGCCGCACCCAGCUCCGCCACCGCCACCGCCACCGCCGCCCCCGUCCCCGACGCCGACCCCGCCACCCCGCCGUCCCGUCUCCUCUCGAAACAUCGCCCGCGCCGCCGUGCAGCACCCCCCCGCCCGACCUCGCCGCACCCCGCGCCCACGCGCGGCCUGCCCGAUCUGAACCGCUGCCACUGCUGCUCCGUUCGCUUCCAGCAGCCGGCGCCGGGCGCCAAGCGACGUCCACUCCGUCCCCUCCGCUCCCUCUGGCGCGUCGUCCUCCUCUGCUCUGAAUGUAUCUCCCUCCUUCGCUCUGGCGCUGUCUGCUCCUACUGCCUCAACCUCGACAACCUGCCGCACGAUGACUCGGUCACCUGCCGCAGCUGCAACUGCUGCGUCCACCACCACUGCAUCCCCGCUGAGCACCGUACUGCCCUGAUCCGGCCUGUAGAUUUGGAGAAUUUCGUCUGCGUCGAUUGCUGCCCCACAGUGAAGGUGGGUAGCAAGAAUGAGGGCGCCGAAUCCGUUCCUAAGCUGGAGUUGGUCAUCAGAGAGCCUAGUCCUGCAGUGCGGAGGAAGGGGGGGCCUGUCGCUGCUGCUAAGUUGAAUUCGCCGAGGAAGGUUGUGGAGGAGGUGAGGCCAGCUUGGAAGGAUGCGAUGGCCCUCGUUCCUGUAGGCGAGGGGUCAGAGAGCAAGGGUCCCGGUGAUCUGGACCUGCCAGAUGAGGCAUUGGCGCUGCAGCUUCAUUUGGCGAUCAACGGAUCACCGAGGAUUUCACGUUCUGGCAGUGCACCUGUGGCUGUCUUGGCAGGGCAGGGCAAUAGACAGGGCAAGAGGCAGAACGGAUUGGUUUAUGGGAGGAAGGUUGAUGAGGAUCUGGGACUUUGUGUAACCAAUAUGAUGGAUCAUCUGGACUAUCUCGAGACCGGAGCAGAGAUGGGAAGCAACUGGAAUGCUAGUCAGGCUUUAGGAUCUGAGGCUUUAGGAUCUGAUCCCACAGUCCCUGUGGUUCUUGCACUGGAGUGUAAAGGUAAACGCCCUCAGGAGAGUCCCAGAGGUAAAAGGAAAGGUCUUCCUGAGACUAAACAACAUAAUAGUUUGGUGGAUUGGCAUAAGGUGGAUCGGUAUGAGAAGAAAUAUAGCAAGAGGAAGUCAAGUAAGCAGACAGAUGUUGAAAGCAAUGGAAACAAGACCUUGCCCAAUGGAAAGGACAUGCAUGUUGGUGAAGGUGGUGAGGGCAUAACUCCUAUGACAUAGACUGCGGCUUCUUUUUGGAGGUAAUUCUUGAGAACAGUAGUUUGCAUCCAGCAAUACAGGAUUGAAGCUAGCAACUUGUUGGUGGCUUUGAUAGGAACUACAAUCAAAGUUAUAGCUCGUCGCCAUGUCUUCUUCCUGCAACUCAGCUUGUCACCGCCAUUUCCAAUCUUAGAUUGGCAAAUAGUUGGGGUCAAGGAAAUGCGCCACCACAGCGAGGCGUUUCACAAAUCCAAAGAUUUACCGCCCAGCCUGGUUUGGAUACAUACACCGGUUGCAAAGUUUUAUUACCAAAUAAAUUCCACAUAGAAAAGGUGUAAAGAGGCAGCCUUAUCCCUUUGCAGGCAGCACACGGUGAGAAGAUGACCUGGUAUCAUCAAAGGUGUGAGGACGUUGGCGGGGUUUGGACUUGCAGAGGAUGGCAUUACAGUGGAUGCAGAUAUAAGAUGAUAAAAGGGCAAGCACAAAGCAAUCAGUGCCAUCAGGAAUUGCCAGCCCUUGCCUCAUUUGCUGUGACUGCAGUCUGUAGGAAUUUCCUACUCAUCUGGAUAAGAGGGCCAUCAAAAUCACGAUAUACAUAUCCGUGUCUGGUGAAUUUGAAAUUGUGAGUCUUACCAGCAGCACCGCCUGGACCUUUUAUAUCCGUCCAGGUUCAGAACUGGACAUGAGGUUCAUCCAAACGUUUGGGAACCGCUGAAGGUUAAUCAAAAUGGUUUCUGCAAAAAAGUUAACUGGUGGCGAGAAUAAUAAAAAUGCUGAAAUGCAAAGUCUCGUUUGGCACAUAAGUCGGCUAUCCAAAUAACAGAGGCAAUAUUACUGCAUGAUGAUUUGAUUUGAUUCCCAAUCUUCAGACAUGGAGUAAUCUCGUUUUGUGGUUCUGAUACCGGACGAGGAUCUCAGUUUGGACUAAUGUGAGCAGUUUGGACGAGGAUCUCAGUUUGGGCUAAUGUGUUUGGGCUAAUCUCGCUUCUUUCCGCAUUGAUGGAUUUUCAGUUCUCCACUAAUGUGAGCAAAUCAGAAUAGGCUAGUUCACUUCAGAAUGCUGGGAAAUAUUAGCAACCCUGCUAUUACCAUCUACAGUAUUAGGCUAAUUAUGGGUCACUUGCUGUAAGCAUGUGUAAUUGGUGCCUGAACCCUUCUCCUUUGAAGUGCUUCUAGCUUGUUCCUUUAAUUCUUCA